rnacentral:rRNA from 1 species
AUGCAAGGCGCUGCCGCAGCCGCCGAGAGGAGGAGCAGGCCUUCGCCUGACAAGGCCGACGAGAGCUCCAAGAAGGCACGACUAGAUCUGCCCGACGGCCACAUGAAGCAAGAGGCGGCCUGUGAAGGAGAUGGGGGCGCCAUCGUUGGGGCGGCGUACAUCCAACGAGUGGAACUCGCCGUGAGGAUCGACAAGCAAAUGCUCCAUUGCCCCCUCUGCACCCACCCCUUCAAGCCCCCGGUCUUCCAGUGCAAAGCGGGGCACCCGGCCUGCAGCGGCUGUGUGGCCCUGCUGCCCUUCAGGCAGUGCAAGGCAUGUGUGGACGGCGGUGGCUUCUUCGACCCCUGCCCUACACUGGACACCUUGGUGUCCUCCACCAGGAUCGGGUGCCCCAACGUCGGCUGCCAGUGGUACGUGACCUACCACGAGGUCACUGAGCACCAGAAAGUGUGCCCGUACGCGCCUUGCCGGUGCACUGAGCCCGGCUGCGGCUACGUCGGCGCGCCGCAGGCGCUCGCCGGUCAUCUCCGCACUGUCCACUUGGUGCCGGUGCGCGCCGUGCAGUACGGCAAGGUCAGCAAGCUUCAGCUAUCGGUGUCGACCAUGCGACUGGUGCUCCUCGACGAUGACAACUGUGUGUUCCUCAUGACCGUGGGCGCGCUCGGCGCCGGCAUCACCGCCGUAUCUGUGGUGUGCGCCAGGGCGAGAGCGGUGACGCGGCCGCGGUUCACAUGCAAGAUGUGGGUCAACCUGGAGACACCCCCGGCAGCAGUAGCGAACUGUGGCAAGGAGGACAUGGUGCUCGUGGACAUGCACAUCAGGAGCAUCUCAUCGCCCGGCGCCGUGGUCGCUGCGGGCGAGCCCACAUUCCUGACAGUGCCGCCAAUGUACCUGGUGCCAGCAGCAGGAGACGGGGCAUCCAUGGAAGUUCCCCUCCACAUCCGCAUCGAUAAGCUCUCCCCUUGGUCCGACGCAUUGGUGUGA